rnacentral:misc_RNA from 1 species
UACCUCCCUCUGCACUGACUCGUGGUAUUGGCAUUCAGGGAAUUGGAACUAUGAUAGAUGCAGUAUUUGGUGCAGGACAUGGCUCCACUGCUUCUGUGGAAGAUGCAGGUCUUUUAGGAUUAACACAAGUAGGAAGUCGGAGGGUCGUUAUAGUAUCAGCAAUCAUUAUGGUUUUCUUUUCCAUUUUAGGAAAAGUUGGGGCUUUUCUCUCUUUAA